CCUACGGGGGGCUGCAGUAAGGAAUAUUGGACAAUGGGGGCAACCCUGAUCCAGCCAUGCCGCGUGAAGGAUUAAGGCCCUAUGGGUUGUAAACUUCUUUUAUACGGGACAAAACCCCUCUAUGCGUAGAGGGUUGAUGGUACUGUAAGAAUAAGCAUCGGCUAACUUCGUGCCAGCAGCCGCGGUAAUACGAAGGAUGCAAGCGUUAUCCGGAAUUAUUGGGUUUAAAGGGUGCGUAGGCGGACCUGUAAGUCAGUGGUGAAAGCCUGUUGCUCAACAACAGAACUGCCAUUGAUACUGCAAGUCUUGAGUACAGUUGAGGUAGGCGGAAUGUGUCAUGUAGCGGUGAAAUGCUUAGAUAUGACACAGAACACCGAUUGCGAAGGCAGCUUGCUAAGCUGUAACUGACGCUGAUGCACGAAAGCGUGGGGAGCAAACAGGCUUAGAUACCCCAGUAGUC
rnacentral:rRNA from 1 species